ensembl:rRNA 5S_rRNA 5S ribosomal RNA
UUUUGGCCAAACCAUCUUGAAUUAUUGCUCUUACCAGAUUUCAAAAGCUAAACAAAGUUAAGCUGGUUAGCACUUUGAUGGGAGAUCUCUACAAAACAAAGGUAGCAGCAAGAA